UCUUUUUUAUAGAACACUAAUUAGCAGCACAUUCAGGUGAAAUCAGUUGAAAUCAGUUUCUUCUCCAUUGGUUCAGUUCCUUAU